GAAGAAAGGGGUAAUGAACGUAGAGGUUAUGGUGUUGGCAAUACAGAUACUGUUAGGGACUACAAGAAGGAGUGAGAAAUACCACCCAGGGAAUCUAGCCAGGUGGUUAUAAAGUAUGAUAAAAUAGGAUUUAGAGGAACAGCUUGCAGCAUGCCAUGCUGGGACACUGGAAUUGCUGUUCUUUUGUGAUCGUGAGCCUGGGUCUUCCAUUACAAUUGCACUGCCACGAGUGCCAAGACUGUGCCUGGAAAGUGGCUCAGCUGACUCUUGAACAGUAGCUGCUGCUUUUUCCUGAGGAGUUGAAAACCAGGCUGCCUCCGCAGCAGGCUCACCGCCGGGUCCAGGCAGUGCCGCGCUCGGACAGAGCCUCAAAACACGGUUUGCAAAUGAGAGAGACAGGAAAAACAGGAGCCAGUAGCAGCUGUACGAAUUUGAAUCCGCCCCAAAGACCAUUUAGAUCUCCGGUUUCAGAGAAUGGUGAGCAGAGUCUACCUCAGCUUCCAUCAUGAAUAUUAAGCAAAUGAAGUCUGGAAAUCUACCUCCACUACCCGCCAUAACAGUGUAACACAGCCCUGAAGUGGCAGCUGUGAAAAGAGAAAACCAGGACGGCCAGACAAACCUGGGAACAAGUUCGUACAGACUGGAGUGUCUGGAGGAAUCGGCUCUGCAGACCAGACAAGGAGGCAAGGAGGUGGCUUACGAGGAAAUGACAGCAAGGCAUGUUCUGGGAGCACAGCCUUCUGCGUACAAGACACCUGUGAGCAUGCGUAGGAGCAGACCACCUUCUGAAAAUGAAGCCAGGGAGCAGACUGUGUUUGCAGAGACCUCCCAACAGGACAGCCUGGAAAUGUCAGAGCUCCUUUCCCUUGCAGCCUGUUCUUGGGGAGCACAGGAAGAAGCUCCGCCAGGCCCCAGGCUGCUGUAAGGAGGGUGCUGUCAUGCGGGAAAUCUUGGCAGAAGCCUUCCUUCACUGAACCCUCUCCCAGCACCACACAACCAGCCCAGCCAAGUGAGUGACAGCCACUAACAGGCCAUCUCCAGCCUGGCCCAGGUCCGACUCGCUGCGUGAGCCAAUGCUCGCUGUCACUGUGCUGCAUUACCUAGGCAGAGCCAGACAGGUGGCAUUGGCAAGAAACCAAGGAAGAAAAACACUUCAUUCCCGGGGAGCGAUCUUCCAUCUGAGAUGGCACGUGAUGCAAGGUGCAGCGUGUGUUGGCCGUGAGAUGAGAUGUGCCUUAUAACAGUUUCCAAAGUUCUGGAACUAGCUCAGACUUGAAAUCCAGAGAAAUUUGGUUAAUUUGUUCUGUUUUGUCUGAGUAGCACUAUUUUUUUCUCUGUGUGUCUUUCGGCUUCAUCUCCUGUUGGGAGUGCUGAAAUUCCGUCACAAAAGCUGCAUCAUCACUUGGCUUUUUAUUAUAGAUUUUCAGCACUACAUGACUGCUAGUGCAUCUCCAGCCAUGCUGGAAAUGGGAAGAAACAACCAACAGCUCUUUAGAUAAUGCAAAAAGACCAUGCCUUCCUGCUAACAGCCAGCUGUGCCUGCAUUUCCCCUCUCCUCCAGCAAGAUACUGAUGCUGCUGCAAGACAAGAGAUUAACUGGAGGUCCCCUUUAACUUCAGGAAGACUAUUUGCAAUGAGAGAUAUUUUUCAGAGUGAGCAAACGACAGGACUAUGGUGGGAGGGAGAGAGUUCCCUUGAGGGGUCCCUAAUACCCCUCCGUGCAUUUACCAGUCCUCAGUAAUCUCUCCUCUGCAGGCCUGUCCUACCCAACCCUGCUUAGCUGGUAAUUGCUGAAGGAAUCAAAACACAAGGUAUGGCAGCUGCAGGCAUCCAGUGGAAAAAAAAAAAUCUCCACAUGCACAUGCACAAGUGUAAAAGAGAGACAGAAGGAGAGAAAGCACAUUAAAGGAAAGACAACAUUUGCAGCAGGCUGGUGUGUCCUUGACCGAAGGAGACAUCAAAGACAGCUUCAGUGAUUUACUCUUUGACAGGCUGGCAUCUCUGUGAUUCACGGAGCUAAUCAAUUAGGUGAUACAUUCCCCCUCCCCACCGCCCCUUUAUUUUUAACAGCUUCUUGCCAAGAGUAGAAAUGCUCCAGAACUGAACGGGGACCGGUGUCCUGACCGUGCUGCAGGAGCUGACAGGCACCAGCCCAGCGGGUCUGAAAGGGGAUCAGGACACUGCCAAAGGGGAUUUUCCACGGGGGGCAGGGGCAGUUUAGCCCCUUUUGGAAGUGGAUGCCACAUUUUCCUGGGUCAUAUGACACAGAUGAUGUUGCAGAGUUUCACAGCCCCUCCAUUUAUUUGGAUAUAUGUCUGCCAUCCCUGCUUCCCCAGUUCUGUGCCACAUGAAGGCUUUAAAAGCCUUCCAGCACUUGAGUCCUUCAGCCAUACAUAAACAGAGCCUUGCCCUUCAGAUUUCUCAGAUUGUUGGCUGUCCUAUUGCAAAAUGAGAGACAGUCACAGCCAAGCUCUUCUUAGUGAGAAGAAAGUCCUGGGAGGCACAGAGGCUGGGAAAUGCACCACAACAGGCUUGUGGGACUGAGCACUGCAGCUGGCCAGGUACUGCAGAAAGCAGCCUGCAUUUAACGCUUGUGUUUCCCCUCCUAAUGAGAAGCUGCAGAAAUCUGGCUGCAAUAUGGUACAGUCAGGGGGAUGGGAGAAGUUGUUGGGGUUCAAGGAAUAAGCCCCCCAGUUGGGAUGCUCUGAAGCCCAUGGUUAUCCCAAAAUGGAAACCUUUUCAGGGACACACAUGGGGACAAAACCAGCCAGGGUGUGAGUGAACAAGUGAGUGGUGGGAUGCUGAGCCAGCCAUAUCAGCACUUGCAGUGUUUAAAAUUUCAUUGAAGAUAAUAUCAGAAAUCUCUAUCCUUUGUGCUUGCAAGCCUUCUCUUCUGAACAUGGCCACUGUAGUGCUUCCCACAUGAAUAUGCAGCAGGAAUGAGUCUGAGCAGGCACAAAUCACAAGGAGAAAGCAAUAGCACUGCUUUGAUGUAAAUCCAGAUUCAGGAACAAGGCCCAGUUGCCCUUGAAAGAAUGGGGAUUUUUCCCAACUUGUCUCACGAGCUGUCCAGGUGCUUGAUGAAAGCUAUUUCAGGGUAAGUCUUGGUGAAUUUUUCACUACUGAUCUUUCUAGAAGUAGUAGGAUGCUAACAAGGAAGAGAGGGCAGUAUUGUGCACUGGAGAGCAACAUCUGGUGGAGAUUUGUUGGAGAAUUCGGGAAUUCACACAGGUGUUAGUCCUGCUUCUUAACAUCACAAGACAUAACAGUUGCAUGGCAAUGAAAGCCUCUCCUCUGGGUUCAGACUGAAGAUUCCUCUUAUGUCUCACUUUGUCACAUUGGGAACAGAGGAUGCAGGCAAAAACCUGACAGUCUUACCCCAUGCUCCCCCUCAUCGCACAGACUGCCCCAAGGAGGUUGGGGCACACCAGCUGAGCUCUUGCUCCUGCCUCCCUAGAAGAGUCCCCUGUGCAAACAGAGACAUUGUUGAAUAUUCUCUGAUUUGCUCUGGAUGAAAUCUCUCAUCAGAUCCCGCUGCUCUUCACGGCAAAAUACCCGCAGGCAACAGAGUCCAAUUUUUACCCGUUCAGCUUCAGGCAUAAAUUUGCUGUUUUCAAAGUGGAAACAGGAUCAGAUGGCAGAGAGAAGGGGAGAAAAAAAAAAAAAAAAGUCCUUCACCAGCUGUGAAAACUGCCCUUUUAAUUUUCAUGAAAAGAUAGAAAGAAAUGUUCUGCUGGUUGUUUCAUCCCUCAUUGGUGUAAUCGACAGAGAGCAUUUCCUCUCACCCAUCAACUCUAAGGUGUCAUUAGCUGCUGGAUCCGUUUUUGGCUUCCCUCCUUUUCCCUCGGUGAAUUACCUCCUUCGAGAUAUCACCUCUUAAAUUCACGUUCAAUUUUGGGGGGCAGGUUUUAUCUGUUCUGCCUGUGAGAGGAAAACGGUUUGUUCCUCUUGUCCUACCCAGCUUUCUCUGUUGUGGUAAAUCCUCUACCUGUUCCUGUUACUCCACUUUGAGGUCUCCCUUCAGAUGUUAGUCGUUCUGUUUUACAUCUAAACCAUACCUCAUUAAAACUGUGCAUCAGUCCAGAUUCCUGCUCAUUACAACAGGCAGAAAGCUCAGCUUAUGGGAAUGCAGUUAUAAUGAGGGCAAAGAGUAUGGCUCAAAAACAACUUCUAAUAGCUCAUUAGCAAAAAAAAAAAAAAAAGACUAGUCAGACACCGCUGUAGUUUCCUUGUUCCUUCUAAAGAUCUGAGAGCCAUCCCCUUCCCAGCCCAUGAAGGUUAGCAACAUUUAGUCUUCAAAAUCAAGGCGAAGCUGUCUUCUGUGCUGAGGACUAUCUCACAGCCUUAGAACUGUCCUGGACUCCCGUGUCCUGUGAUAAUACCUGCAGAUUUCCUGAGUCACUUAACGUGGUUGCUCGGUGCUCAUUUGUCACCUCCUCUACACCUGCUACAUCUGGGAAGCGGCGAGGGGAGCCAGCACUGCACACUGGCAGCCCAGCUGCUGAUGCUCCCUGCUCCCCUAGCUCGGUGUGGAUCCCAUCCUGCCUGAUGCUGUCUCCCUGAUAUCCUGCUUCUUCUCACUCGUGGUUGUUGGUUUGGGAUGUCAGCCUGACCCCGAUUCAGACAACAGGUAAAAUUCCAAAUAUCUGCCUGAGUCCUGGCAGUGGGAUUCUAGUCCAGGCUGGUGAUGUAUGGCACACAGAGAGUUUUGCUUUCUGUGUGUGUGAAAAGAGAGAAAUAGAAAGAAGCCACCAGUCUGGCAAAUAAGUUUUAAAAGAGUCCACAUUGACUCUGGUUUUCUUCCCCAUCUAGGUAACAUGCAGCAAGAGCAGCUAUAUACCUAGAAAUAUUAUCAAGAGCUGCUCGUUCUCUGAUCCAUAGAGGAGCUAAUGUCAUUACCUAGGCUUUAUUCUGCUCUUGCUCAAGCAAGGAGAGUAAACACUGUGUAAAAACUGUAAAAACUGAGCAGAGACCUUAGGAUUUAUGCACUCGUUACCUUGCAGGACCAUCUCUCAGGAUGAAGCAAUUUACACAGUGAAAUAUCAGUGCACUAAAAAGCUUAGGAGGAGCUUCGACAAACUGGCAGCCCUGUUCAUGUGUUCCGAUUAGCUACUCACAGCACCUAUCAGAGAAAAAGACUUCAUCAGCGGUGGUAUUUAAUGCUCAACUUUUGUCUCCAUUCAGCGCAGGCUGAAAAUGUAAUAUUUUGACAGUCUCAUGAGAUGCUGCCUCCUCUUAAGGAAGAGCUGACACAGAGGAGGCCUCUUCUGAAUGGGCGAUGUCUGGCCUUCAAAGGACUGAAGAGUGAUUAUGCCACAACUAGGCAGUGCCCAAGCUUUGGGGACAGUGUGGCUGUCUUCAUCUAGCAGGCUUGAAUCCCAUGCUGCAGCUGCAGGGCCAGGAGCGAGCUGCUUGCUUCGGCACCCUUCUUGUGGCUGAACGUGCUGCCCAGCUAGAGAUAAGCAGGUAUCAGCACCCCUGGAGGAAUAUGCUCCUCAGUCAGAAGGAGGAACACAACUAUAUUUGAAAGCGGUUUAUUUUUAGCUCAUCAUUCAUAAUUUUGCUUGUGUACGUCACGGUGACUCACACUUUGUUCCUCCUUACUCGACCGUGUGCCUGCAGAGACAACAACAUGUUUGCUUGUUUAAUGCACGGUCUCUCUGUUUGAGGGCUUGUUGUUUCAGCGAGGUCUGGGAGCAGCAAGGGCUUCUUCUCAGACAAACACUUUCAUGCUGUGAGAGUUUGUAGAACUGUCUUUUUUUUUUUUUUUUUUUUCCUGUAAGAAAUGUGGUUUUAGUAAAAUGCAGAUGUGGUAAAUGCAUAUGCACCGGUCACAUCUGCCUGAAAAAGAAAAGGCCUCCAAACAGAAAAGGAGCUCUUAACACAGUGCAGAAGAGACCAUCCUGUGCACCAAAUCCUGUUCAUCACAUCACUGCCAACCCCCUAGCAGAUGUUCAGUCCAGACAAUUCCCCAGAACAUCUGUGCCAUAUCCUCUACCUGCUGCAAACCACAAAACACCUCCCUGCAAGACCUCCUAAUAAACUGCAGACCCUGCAAAGAAAACACAAAACCUUCGCAAUGAUAGUGUAUUGCAGAGAGAAAUGGCAGAGAUCAAAGGCAAAGAAAGGAGCAUAGAGUUCCUAAUGGUUGCCUCGUGCUUUCUCCAUGCACUGGUACUGACUUUUCCUAAUGUAAAGCCGUGGCACUGGGCUAAAAACAACCCCCUUUUGUUACCCAGGAGCUCACGGCUCACCUAAGCCUUCUCCGAUCCCUCCAGUGAGCCAUUAGAGCACCAACUGUUGUGAGGUUGUUUUAGCAACAGUUUGAAAAGUGAUUUUUUAUGAGCUGUUUAUUACCUUCUCAGAUUUAUUAUGUUCCAUUCAGACCGAUUAUGUGAAAUAAUAAUAAAAAAAAAAACUCUAACAAAACAUGACCUAAAAAAAAAAAAAAUAUGUUUCUGAAGAAAAUAUGGACCAGGGUUAUUUUUCCUUUCUUCCUUCCCCUCCUCUCCCCAAACUUUUGGAAUAAAUGUCAGAAUUAAUUUAAGUCAACAUUGCCAGAAGCAAUCAUUCGUCUUGAAUAUUUCAAACUUGGAGUAACUAAAUGAAGGUUCCUGAGAAUGAAUGUAGUUGCAGGAGGAGAUUUGUGAACCCAUUUGUGAAUCUAAGCUGAUUUUCUGCUUCUUCCUAUCUCAGAAACCUGUGUGUCUCUGGUUGGACAUGUAAAAGAGGACAUACCUUGUGGAGAAAGACAUUUUCAAACUUUUAAACAUUUUCAGGGAGUGAUGGUGCUGAUGGGGACCUCUUCACUGUCCAAACCCACAUCACUGCCAGGGAUUGCACCAAGCAGAGCCCAUGGGCAGGAUUUCCGGAUCUCCAAGGAUACAGGGCUGUGCAAAUUAAUGUUACAGAAGGCUGGUCAGAAGCAUCACAGCUAGAUGGGAAAGGGGAGUUCUUCUUCUGCCAACAGUACUAAUCUCUGUGCUCGCACUUUGGAUAAAAGAUGGCCUGUUGACAAAUUAAUUUUUUUUUCCUAUUUACCCUGUAUUUUCCUUUAAUGGUCCCAGCUGGAGAUCAAAGUCACAAAUUUUCAGCCGACUUCCAAUUCGUGCUGUGCUUUGGAAGUGAUUUUUCGGGGAAGUACAUGUGCAAAGCAGGUAGCUGACCAGCCAGUCCCCAACACGGCUGCACCAGCUCUGCACAUCUCUGUCCAUCCUCAGCAACGAGGGAGGCCUCCCCUCCACUCAGUGCCAGGGGGAGCCCUGCUGCUGCCUGCAAGAAAGGCUCUGGGAAUUGCAAGACCAGGCCCUGGGAAAUCCAGCGAGACUGAAAGCUGGCCACCUGGCUGAAUGUUUUAGCUUUCCCCUGACAGUUAAUGAGAUUAAAGCCCAGGAGGAUUCCCUGGCAAUUACAGCGGAUGAUGGGAAUUUGGCUCCCACACAGCGAUGAACAGGGCUCACACGAGCGGCAUCCUGCAGGGAGGGGGUGGCGAGUCUUCGUGGGAGAAAAUGUGUGCCCUGGCUGUGCGAGGCACCAACGUGUCCCUGGCACAUCACUGCUGGUUGCUUUUUAUGCUUCUUUUCUGGGCUGUCUGUUGACUGAAAAGGCUGCAGAGAUCAAGCUCUCCUUCAGCCCUUAAAAAUGGUUUCUCUCGGGUUGAGCUGUGGCAUCAGGAUAGAAAUAAAGAUCUCCAGUCUCCACAGUAAUUAAUACCCAUCCAUCAGCUUUAAGAAUCACCUGUGUAUAAUAAAUGCAAGAAGUUAAACAUCUUGCUGCUGAGCCUCCGCUAGUUGUCAUCUAGGCAAGACAAUUUAUGGCACCUUUCCCGAGCAUCCUGUCAAGGGCUCAUUCGUGUAGCUCCUCCAAAGGCCAUACGCAGCCUUGAGAAUAUAAGAAUUCAGAGAUUUGCCCUGCUGCCUCGUUACCCUGCGUGAUCAUUUCUGAUAAGUGUUCUUGUUUAAUCAUUUCCCUGAGUAGAGCCCAGGGUUCUCUUGUGUUUGUCUGUGUCAUAUUAAUAAAGGUCCAUUUGGGAGGAUGCUGGGGGUGGAAAUGAUUUGACCGAGGUUAAGUAACAAUUGUACAAAAUUGUUUUGACAUUAUGUUAAUGUCUGCUUGUGUAUUAUCCCCAAUUUAAAGUUAAUCACCAAAAUUACCGUUGCAGUUCCCAAAAUCUAAUGAAAUAAGAUUUGUUGAGGUGUGAAUAAUACAGAAAUUGAGAAGCACGCAGUCACUAUAAAAAAAAAAAA